rnacentral:lncRNA from 1 species
UAAAAAUAGAGCUACCAUAUGAUCCAGCAAUCCCACUGGGCUAAGAGGAGGAUUGUAAGUGAUUCAGAAGCAAAGCUUAUUGAUCACGAAGCAUGACAGUGGAAGAAUUUCCUGAAAAUGGAAGGAGAAGAUGGUUUCACAGCAAAGCUACUAAUCUGAAACAGUAAAAGCAACAAACAAAUGCCCACUCCCCUUAGCUGACCAGAACACAAUCCUUGUGAAAUAUAAAAACAAUUAGGUACAUGUAACACAGGACACUGUUUUUCAAAUUUAAUGUUAACAGUGGGAUUAUUUGUUUUCCCUGCGACAAAUUUCUUUGUGGGAGUCUGAUAUAUCAAAUAGGAUUGGUAAAGUGAAGCAGGCACGGGCAUCUAGAAUUCUGCUGCUUCGUACUGCCCCUUCCCAGUCCCCAGUGGCCAGGAGAUGCCCCAUCAGAGCUCCAGGGCUCUCAGAUCAUUGUUUGAAAACUACUCAUCAGAAUGUCUCUUUGAAUCAGAGCUUGGAUUUCUGAUGCAUCGGACAUUUAAACUCUCCCCGUUUUGCCACCUCUCUUGCAGUGAGUUAACCUAAAACAUAAAGGGAAAAAGCAACAACAAAAAAGAUCAAAAAAGCCCAAACGAUCAAAAAAGGCACGCUGAAAUCUGUGUCCUCACCUAUUCAGAAAGUCAGGGGAAAAAAAGAUAAAAGAAUAAAUCCUAAGCAAAAGCAACUUUCCAUCGAGAUGACAAGUAAGAUAGCUUCUUCCCUUCUGCAUGUGAAUUGCAAUUCCGAUUUAUGAUCUGUGACAUGAUAAUCAAUCAGUCUUAACUGCAUUUUGCAGAUAGUAGCAGCUGUGGAGAUGGGUGCUGAAGUUGACGUUGCCCAGAGAUGAUGUCAUUUCUGGCAAACUCCCCUCAAAUGUGCUUUGAUCGAUGUGGUUGUUCUUUCCUCUGCUAAGUUGACGUGUACUUAACCUCAGGCAGGAAUCACGGUCAAGUCCGUUUAGGGGUCAGAUCCGAUGCAGCCAUGGAAAGCUAGAGAUUCUCAGUCCUGUCAUCCCUUGAUUUUACUUUUCUAGACACUAAGUAAAAAAAUGAGAGGAGAAGGAAGGGAAGCAAGGGACAGGAGUAGAGACUGCUGGUGUCAAGGACAACAGGGUGGAAGGCCAAAUGGAACAUCACAGUCAUCUUGAGUACCACUGCAUGCAAGAACAGCUACCUGAAAGUCAAUGAUGCAUUUAAGAUUUUUCUUCCUGGCCCAUAAUUCCCGUUUGGUUGAGAGUAUAGCUGCAUUAAGUAUAUGGUAAAUUUGCUGCAGGUGGCCCAGAAAACCUCCCCAGCGCUAACAAUCAAUUACCUCUCAGGACAGAAGCUGCUUCCUGUGCAGGAAAUGCGAGAUCUCUGCUCAGUGACAGAGGCUCAGGAAUUUCAUAGGACCUAUGGAUCUUCCAGUCCAACUGAGUGCAGAAAACUGCCAGGUUUCAUCUUCCUCCUUCUCUGCACCAAAAAACCUGAGACCGGGAUGCCAUGUAGCUGCUUCAGUUGGGAGAUGAUGCCAAGAACCACAAAUGAGGAAAUGAAGGGUCUGGCUCUUAUCACCUCUGAAUAGCAUGCCAUUCUCUUAGCCUCAUCUAAGAAACAGACUGUAGGGGAAGAGAAGAUCUAGAAUGUUGGUCACCAACCAAUGGCAGACAUUAUCAGACAAUUUGUGAGCAAGGAAGUCAGGAACUGUGAGCCACCUGCCAUCUUAAUUUGACAUCUAGUCUCACUACUUUCAAGCACCUCCACUUCAAAAUACUCUUACAAGUGAAUCACCAUUGUUAAAUGGAUCUUUGAAGGAAUUUUGACAACCAGACUGAAAACAAUCUAGACAUCUUAGAUAUUUGUGGCUUCACAGAAAAUAAAAUAAAACAACCCUUUUCAGCA